rnacentral:misc_RNA from 1 species
GAUGAAGAACGUAGCGAAAUGCGAUAAGUAAUGCGAAUUGCAGAAUUCAGUGAGUCAUCGAAUCUUUGAACGCACAUUGCGCCCUGUGGUAUUCCACAGGGCAUGCCUGUUCGAGCGUCAUUUCAACCCUCAAGCUCUGCUUGGUGUUGGGCCCUGCCCGCUGCGGCCGGCCCUAAAGACAGUGGCGGUGCCGCCUGGCCCUGAGCGUAGUACAUCUCUCGCUCCAGUGCCCGGUGGUAGCCUGCCAGAACCCCAACUCUCGUGGUUGACCUCGGAUCAGGUAGGGAUACCCGCUGAACUUAAGCAUAUCAAUAAGCGGAG